rnacentral:rRNA from 1 species
GAUGAACGCUGGCGGCGUGCCUAAUACAUGCAAGUCGAGCGAACAGAUGAGGAGCUUGCUCCUCUGACGUUAGCGGCGGACGGGUGAGUAACACGUGGAUAACCUACCUAUAUGACUGGGAUACCUUCGGGAAACCGGAGCUCAUACCGGAUAAUAUAUUGAACCGCAUGGGUCAAUAGUGAAAGAGGGUUUUGCUGUCACUUAUAGAUGGAUCCGCGCCGUAUUAGCUAGUUGGUAAGGUAACGGCUUACCAAGGCAACGAUGCGUAGCCGACCUGAGAGGGUGAACGGCGACAGUGGAACUGAGACACGGUCCAGAGUCCUACGGGAGGCAGCAGUAGGGAAGCUUCCGCAAUGGGCGGAAGCCUGACGGAGCAACGCCGCGUGAGUGAUGAAGGUCUUCGGAUCGUAAAACUCUGUUAUUAGGGAAGAACAAAUGUGUAAGUAACUAUGCACGUCUUGACGGUACCUAAUCAGAAAGCCACGGCUAACUACGUG